UAACACAUGCAAGUCGAACGGAAAGGCCCUGCUUUUGUGGGGUGCUCGAGUGGCGAACGGGUGAGUAACACGUGAGUAACCUGCCCUUGACUUUGGGAUAACUUCAGGAAACUGGGGCUAAUACCGGAUAGGAGCUCCUGCUGCAUGGUGGGGGUUGGAAAGUUUCGGCGGUUGGGGAUGGACUCGCGGCUUAUCAGCUUGUUGGUGGGGUAGUGGCUUACCAAGGCUUUGACGGGUAGCCGGCCUGAGAGGGUGACCGGCCACAUUGGGACUGAGAUACGGCCCAGACUCCUACGGGAGGCAGCAGUGGGGAAUAUUGCACAAUGGGCGGAAGCCUGAUGCAGCAACGCCGCGUGCGGGAUGACGGCCUUCGGGUUGUAAACCGCUUUCGCCUGUGACGAAGCGUGAGUGACGGUAAUGGGUAAAGAAGCACCGGCUAACUACGUGCCAGCAGCCGCGGUGAUACGUAGGGUGCGAGCGUUGUCCGGAUUUAUUGGGCGUAAAGGGCUCGUAGGUGGUUGAUCGCGUCGGAAGUGUAAUCUUGGGGCUUAACCCUGGGCGUGCUUUCGAUACGGGUUGACUUGAGGAAGGUAGGGGAGAAUGGAAUUCCUGGUGGAGCGGUGGAAUGCGCAGAUAUCAGGAGGAACACCAGUGGCGAAGGCGGUUCUCUGGGCCUUUCCUGACGCUGAGGAGCGAAAGCGUGGGGAGCGAACAGGCUUAGAUACCCUGGUAGUCCACGCUGUAAACGGUGGGUACUAGGUGUGGGGUCCAUUCCACGGGUUCCGUGCCGUAGCUAACGCUUUAAGUACCCCGCCUGGGGAGUACGGCCGCAAGGCUAAAACUCAAAGGAAUUGACGGGGCCCCGCACAAGCGGCGGAGCAUGCGGAUUAAUUCGAUGCAACGCGUAGAACCUUACCUGGGUUUGACAUGGAUCGGGAGUGCUCAGAGAUGGGUGUGCCUCUUUUGGGGUCGGUUCACAGGUGGUGCAUGCCUGUCGUCAGCUCGUGUCGUGAGAUGUUGGGUUAAGUCCCGCAACGAGCGCAACCCUUGUUCACUGUUGCCAGCACGUUAUGGUGGGGACUCAGUGGAGACCGCCGGGGUCAACUCGGAGGAAGGUGGGGAUGACGUCAAGUCCUCAUGCCCCUUAUGUCCAGGGCUUCACGCAUGCUACAAUGGCUGGUACAGAGAGUGGCGAGCCUGUGAGGGUGAGCGAAUCUCGGAAAGCCGGUCUCAGUUCGGAUUGGGGUCUGCAACUCGACCUCAUGAAGUCGGAGUCGCUAGUAAUCGCAGAUCAGCAACGCUGCGGUGAAUACGUUCCCGGGGCUUGUACACACCGCCCGUCAAGUCAUGAAAGUUGGUAACACCCGAAGCCGGUGGCCUAACCGUUGUGGGGGAGCCGUCGAAGGUGGGACUGGUGAUUAGGACU
rnacentral:rRNA from 1 species